rnacentral:lncRNA from 1 species
AAACUGUGGGGACCCAGAGGAGGUUGCUACCCAUCCUCCAGCCUUGGCUGGCCUCCCAAAGAUGACUCAUCAGUGGGAAUCAAGAAUCUGAGUCCCCAGAACCAGCUUAGGCCACUACCUAACCGGGAUGGAAAAUGGGCCCACCUGAUAGUCAUCUUUAGAACUUUGUGCAGAGCUGCAGAGGAGCCAGCCAAGUCAGACCACACGGAGAACAGGGCUGUGCCCAUUGGAUGGAAG